AGAGUUUGAUCCUGGCUCAGGAUGAACGCUGGCGGCGUGCUUAAUACAUGCAAGUCGAACGGAAACAGUAGCAAUAUUGUUUUAGUGGCGAACGGGUGAGUAACGCGUUGGUGACCUGCCCCGAAGAGAGGGAUAACAGUUCGAAAGGAUUGCUAAUACCUCAUGUGGUCAUAUGGUUUAGAAGCUUAUGACUAAACGGAUUUAUUCGCUUCGGGAGGGGCCUGCGUCCCAUCAGCUAGUUGGUAAGGUAAUGGCCUACCAAGGCGAUGACGGGUAGGGGACCUGAGAGGGUGGCCCCCCACAAUGGAACUGAAACACGGUCCAUACACCUACGGGUGGCAGCAGUCGGGAAUAUUGGUUAAUGUGGGAAACCGCGAACCAGCAACGCCGCGUGCACGAUGAAGGCCUUCGGGUCGUAAAGUGCUUUUAGAGAGGAUGAGGAAGGACAGUACUCUCUGAAUAAGCCUCGGCUAACUACGUGCCAGCAGCCGCGGUAAAACGUAGGAGGCGAGCGUUAUCCGGAUUUAUUGGGUUUAAAGGGUGCGUAGGCGGAUCAAUAAGUCAGUGGUGAAAUUCUGCAGCUUAACUGUAGACUUGCCAUUGAUACUGUUGGUCUUGAGUAUGGUCAAGGUAGGCGGAAUGUGUAAUGUAGCGGUGAAAUGCUUAGAUAUUACACAGAACACCGAUUGCGAAGGCAGCUUGCUGGGCCAAUACUGACGCUCAGGCACGAAAGCGUGGGGAUCGAACAGGAUUAGAUACCCUGGUAGUCCACGCCGUAAACGAUGAUCACUCGCUGUUAGCGAUAUACAGUUAGCGGCUAAGCAAAAGCAUUAAGUGAUCCACCUGGGGAGUACGGCCGCAAGGCUGAAACUCAAAGGAAUUGACGGGGGCCCGCACAAGCGGAGGAACAUGUGGUUUAAUUCGAUGAUACGCGAGGAACCUUACCUGGGCUUGACAUGCAGGGUAAAGCGGCGGAAACGUCGUGUCCGAAAGGGCCUUGCACAGGUGGUGCAUGGCUGUCGUCAGCUCGUGUCGUGAGAUGUUGGGUUAAGUCCCGUAACGAGCGCAACCCCUGUCCUAUGUUGCCAUCAUUUAGUUGGGGACUCAUAGGAGACUGCCGGCGUCAAGCCGGAGGAAGGUGGGGAUGACGUCAAGUCAUCAUGCCCCUUAUGUCUUGGGCUGCACACGUGCUACAAUGGCCGGCACAAUGGGCUGCGAUACCGCGAGGUGGAGCGAAUCCCAUAAAUCCGGCCCCAGUUCGGAUCGAAGGCUGCAACUCGCCUUCGUGAAGUCGGAGUUGCUAGUAAUCGCGGAUCAGCAUGCCGCGGUGAAUACGUUCCCGGGCCUUGUACACACCGCCCGUCACACCACCCGAGUUGUCUGCACCCGAAGUCGUUGGCCCAACCCGCAAGGGGGGGAGGCGCCGAAGGUGUGGAGAGUAAGGGGGGUGAAGUCGUAACAAGGUAGCC
rnacentral:rRNA from 1 species